rnacentral:rRNA from 1 species
GGCGUCGAGCGGCGGACGGGUGAGUAAUGCCUAGGAAAUUGCCCUGAUGUGGGGGAUAACCAUUGGAAACGAUGGCUAAUACCGCAUGAUGCCUACGGGCCAAAGAGGGGGACCUUCGGGCCUCUCGCGUCAGGAUAUGCCUAGGUGGGAUUAGCUAGUUGGUGAGGUAAGGGCUCACCAAGGCGACGAUCCCUAGCUGGUCUGAGAGGAUGAUCAGCCACACUGGAACUGAGACACGGUCCAGACUCCUACGGGAGGCAGCAGUGGGGAAUAUUGCACAAUGGGCGCAAGCCUGAUGCAGCCAUGCCGCGUGUGUGAAGAAGGCCUUCGGGUUGUAAAGCACUUUCAGUCGUGAGGAAGGUAGUGUAGUUAAUAGCUGCAUUAUUUGACGUUAGCGACAGAAGAAGCACCGGCUAACUCCGUGCCAGCAGCCGCGGUAAUACG